rnacentral:rRNA from 1 species
GUACAAUAAGCAAAAUAAGGGCGUAUGGGGGAUGCCUAGGCUCUCAGAGGCGAUGAAAGGCGUGAUAAGCUGCGAAAAGCUGCGGGGACGAGCACACAUCGAUUGAUCCGCAGAUACCUGAAUGGGGCAACCCGGCAUGUUGAAGACAUGUCACUCCGAUAGGAGGGCAAACCCGCUGAACUGAAACAUCUAAGUAGGCGGAGGAGAAGAAAACAAAAGUGAUUCCGUAAGUAGUGGCGAGCGAACGCGGAUUAGCCCAAACCAGUGUUGUUACGGCAAUGCUGGGGUUGUAGGACCACGACAUUCCAUGUACAAGGAACCGGAAGUUGCUGGAAAGCGGCGCCAUAGAGGGUGAUAGCCCCGUAUGGGUAACGAGUAUAAUGGAUAGUGGUAUCCUGAGUAGGGCGGGGCACGUGAAACCCUGUCUGAAUUUGGCGGGACCAUCCGCUAAGGCUAAAUACUCCUGAGAGACCGAUAGUGAACCAGUACCGUGAGGGAAAGG